rnacentral:lncRNA from 1 species
GACUAAUUGGUUGCAGAAAGUGAUGAAUCAGAGGCUGAAGUGAAGUUACAAAGUUAUACUCCUAUGCAAAGGAAGACUUGGCCUGUGACCAGCCUGAUUGACUGCAGGAGGGGACCAGUCAGAGCAAGAAGGCAGCCAUCUGUAGGGCAGGAAGAGAGCCCUCACCAGAACUUGACCAUGCUGGCACCCUGAUCUCAGACUUCUAGCCUCCAGAACUUGCAGCAUUGAAACAGAGUUACUGUGAAUACAGAAGACUGUCUAUCCCACAGCAGGCAAUGCAAUUAAAGACUUCAGAGAAUGCCAGAUUUUUCAGAAUGCAUCAUAGAAUUUUCAAAGCUGUAAGAAAGAGGUGAGGAUGCUGAGAUGUAGAGAGACUGAUUUGCUCAAGAUAACAAAGAGUUUUAUUGAUUUGGGAACCCAUGGAAGGGGGUCAGCUGUGAGAUAUCACAUGAUCAGACUGACUGCCUGACCAGACUGACUGCCAUCCUGUUAAAGGAAUGAAUCACAGUUCAUCUCGCAGAUUUAUGGCAUGCCUACAGAAAAAGUACCUUAUGAUGCAAACCUGAAAGUUUAAAUAAUCUCCUGAAAGUUCCACAAUCAGUUUUCAGCUUUCCUCCACUGUUUUGGGAAACGUCACCUUCUUAUCUUGGAAGAGUAAUCUCAAAAUUGAAGCAUCUUAGAUCCAACAAGAAUUAAAAGGAUGGGAAGUCCUUGCAGCCAUCCAAUAGAGUCAGAAGACUUUGGAUUUUGGAGUCUGUGAGAUUAUCUUACAGAGCAAGACUGCAGAUCAAGAUUUUCCAACGUGGUGCUGACUUUUUUGAGAACAGUUAAUGAGAACUAGGAAAGUCCUUGCAGACCAUCCAGUCCAGCGGCUUUCAAAUGGAAAAUGUGAAAGGACAACAGAAUCACAUGGAUUCUUUUCUGAACUGCUUUUUUCCAGUGAUGCCAUAUUCUAUAAGACUUCAUGUGAAGGUGUGGAGGACGGGUAAUGUCUGAAUCUUCCAGGCAAUGAGAGGGAUGGUGUGAGUCUGGAAAUUCUUUGUGAUGGUCUGAGACUCCCCUUACUCCAGUUAAGAACACUGACUUAAUUCGAUCUGGUUUUUUUUAACAAAUGGCCUCUGAGACGUAGAGCAGUGAGGAUAAGGACUCUUACCCGGUUACAGAGUGGAGUAAGGGCUAGAACUCAACUCUUAAAAAUUUCAAAUGCAAUGUUCUUUCUACAAUAUUGUGCCUACUUCUUCACUUCUGCUUAUAGGCAACUUCCUUUUCCUUUAAUUCUCUAAUAUUUGGAGGGCACGUCACAACUUAUACACUUGCUCUAUAUGUUUUACAUUGCUUCUCAUGGUUUCUCAUGCAUAAGUAUAGUAUUUUCUUAUAUUUUAAAUUUUCUAAGAACAGGUAACCUAUUUUAAACUCCCCUUGCAAUUAUGCAGGUAACUAACACAUUGAUGAUAAGCUAAUAUUAAGAGAGCAAAAUAGUUGAUGAUUAGUUUAUUAGUAUCUCAAAAUAAUCCAUUUGAUGUGCUAAGGUGCUAUUAGUUACAACAUUUCAAGUAUACAUGCAAUUCUUGUUAGAAAUAUUAUCCACCUUUUGAAAUACAUGUUGAUUAAAGACUAACAUGGGCUGUGGGCAUAGGUACAGUAACAGCAUACCAUAGGCCGGAGAAAGAGUUGACUUUGGAGGUCCAAGAUCAAGAAGCAGGAUGUCUAACAGGGCUCUUGAGAAUUCUAGGGCAGCCGGUACUCGAAAGGCAAGAUUUGAUUGUGAAUGAUUUCAUGCAACUCCGUUGGUUAAUAAGCAAAUCCUGCCCACACUUGUGGAUAACAUGGAAGCUACCUGAGCAGGUAAAGGCUAAGACAGAAGAUCCAUGAACAGAACUGGAGUUUUGAUAAUUCACCAGGAACUUGGUUACUUUGUUGUACCUUUUAUGCUUUUAUAUUUCUUCUUCCCUUUCAUUUCCAUGCAAUGUAUUUAUAACUUGUAGCUAGAUUUUUAGAUUACUGCCAGACAAAUUCAGUCAAUUUAAUUAAUUAGGCAAAUUAAAGUGAAAAUUAUGUUUUAGGGGCUGUUAAAAUUUAUAAGACAUUAGCACAUUCUUCUCAUGUGCUUUUAUUAUUAUUACAAAUGUUGUUUCAUAAUUAGCCAUGUGUUAAUUGUUAGCUUGGGGAAUGAUUUACGUGUUUAAAAUUGGGAGAAAUCAUUUUGGCUAUGGCUACCUCUUUUAAUUUACUUACAUAUUUUUUUCCCAUCACACAGUGUUUGACUUUUACAACCACAUACAUUUUGAUUAGAACCUGAAAUAAUUCAGUAAAACAAGAUGAUGGUUUUUUGUUCUGCUCAAUCUUUGUAUCAUAACCUUCACUUCUCAAUGCUCAAAUGAUGGAAUGAAAAGUGGACAAUUCUUGACUGCAUCGUGCUGCCCUUGUGUUGCUGUACUGUUAUUUCACACUUGA